AUAAAAUAACUAAAACAACACAAAUGUUAUAGUUUAAAAGUCUCAUUCAUCUAAUCCUCUAAGGAAAACAUCUCCAAGAUCUUCAUGAUCAUCUCCAUCUUCAUCACCAUGUUCAUCAUCAUCAUCAUCAUCAUCUUCAUCACCAUCAACAUUAUCAUAAAAAACUAUCUUGUUCUGGCAAUAUGAUGUUUGAAUCUGAAAAUUCAUCCAUUAAAUAUUUUUUACCAGUAAUUACAUUUCAUUUUUUUUUCGUUCCCUGAAGCAUUAGUACCAUGCUUUCAUCCAAUAUCUGUUCUAUUUCCUACAACAUUCUUACUUCUAGGUGGUAGUGGAAAUGUUGAAUUUGAACCAAUUCCAGACAUCUUAUUAUAUGCCAAAUUUUUUAUAAAAAAACAAUAAAUUAGCCAAUAUGCCCUAAAAUUAAACAAAGCAGUAAAAAAACUUCAAGAUGCCCAAAAAUCUGCCCCAAACCCAACGAACAAAAAAGUCUCAACCCAUUUUAAAAGCUCAAACCUAAUUUUAAAAACCCUAACCCAAUAUGUUUGAAUUUGUUCUCACCGCAGUAGAGGACAUACCUAUUAAAGUGCAACGAGCAUCGCGGCGAGGUGCCAAAGAAAAGG
rnacentral:lncRNA from 1 species